rnacentral:rRNA from 1 species
UACGUAGGGUCCGAGCGUUGUCCGGAAUUACUGGGCGUAAAGAGCUCGUAGGUGGUUUGUCGCGUUGUUCGUGAAAACUCACAGCUCAACUGUGGGCGUGCGGGCGGAUACGGGCAGACUAGAGUACUGCAGGGGAGACUGGAAUUCCUGGUGUACGCGGUGGAAUGCGGCAGAUAGUCAGGAGGAACACCGGUGGCGAAGGCGGGUCUCUGGGCAGUAAACUGACGCUGGAGGAGCGAAAGCGUGGGGAGCGAACAGG